AUGCUCUUUAAAAGCACUGGUUAUAGGACUCUGACUUGUCCAUGCCAGCCGUCAAAAUGAGCUAUAUAGAAUAUCUUGUUUUUGGGUGAGGUGUAAUUGUAUUUAGAUUAGAUCUCAAUAACACGAUGACAAUU
rnacentral:snoRNA from 14 species